AAUAAAUAUAUCGAGUACUGAUUUUAAAUUGAAUUUGAAAAACGAUAUAAUAAGAAAGUAACUUCACCUAUUGACUUUUAUGGUUUCAAGCUGAAAUGAAGAAAACUAGAUUUAAAACUGAACAUGGGUUUAAAUCUUCAUGUAGAGAAGGAGAGGAUCCCCUGGAUACUUCAAAGGUGCUGCUAGCUCCUGAACUCAUCAUCUAUGACAAUGCCUGCAAUCUUCAUUGAUACUGCUUAAAUCGUGAUCCACACUUUUUCAAAAAUACACAGUUCAAAGUUGAUGGAUUUCAUUGGGAUAAUCAUUUUGGU